rnacentral:rRNA from 1 species
UACGAAGGGUGCAAGCGUUACUCGGAAUUACUGGGCGUAAAGCGUGCGUAGGUGGUUGUUUAAGUCUGUUGUGAAAGCCCUGGGCUCAACCUGGGAACUGCAGUGGAAACUGGACAACUAGAGUGUUGUAGAGGGUAGCGGAAUUCCCGGUGUAGCAGUGAAAUGCGUAGAGAUCGGGAGGAACAUCCAUGGCGAAGGCAGCUACCUGGACCAACACUGACACUGAGGCACGAAAGCGUGGGGAGCAAACAGG